rnacentral:rRNA from 1 species
AUGAACGCUGGCGGUAUGCCUAACACAUGCAAGUCGAACGAAGUUCCUUCGGGGACUUAGUGGCGGACGGGUGAGUAACACGUGAGAACCUGCCUUCAGAAUGGGGACAACAGUUGGAAACGACUGCUAAUACCCAAUGUGCCGAAAGGUGAAAGAUUUAUCGUCUGAAGAUGGGCUCGCGUCUGAUUAGCUAGAUGGUGGGGUAAGAGCCUACCAUGGCAACGAUCAGUAGCUGGUCUGAGAGGAUGAGCAGCCACACUGGGACUGAGACACGGCCCAGACUCCUACGGGAGGCAGCAGUGGGGAAUUUUCCGCAAUGGGCGCAAGCCUGACGGAGCAAUACCGCGUGAGGGAGGAAGGUCCUUGGAUUGUAAACCUCUUUUAUCAGGGAAGAAAAAAAUGACGGUACCUGAUGAAUAAGCAUCGGCUAACUCCGUGCCAGCAGCCGCGGUAAUACGGAGGAUGCGAGCGUUAUCCGGAAUUAUUGGGCGUAAAGCGUCCGUAGGUGGUCAUGCAAGUCUGCCGUUAAAGAAUGGAGCUCAACUCCAUAGGAGCGGUGGAAACUGCAAGACUAGAGUACAGUAGGGGUAGCAGGAAUUCCCAGUGUAGCGGUGAAAUGCGUAGAUAUUGGGAAGAACAUCGGUGGCGAAAGCGUGCUACUGGGCUGAAACUGACACUGAGGGACGAAAGCUAGGGUAGCGAAAGGGAUUAGAUACCCCUGUAGUCCUAGCCGUAAACGAUGGAUACUAGGCGUGGCUUGUAUCGACCCGAGCCGUGCCGAAGCUAACGCGUUAAGUAUCCCGCCUGGGGAGUACGCACGCAAGUGUGAAACUCAAAGGAAUUGACGGGGGCCCGCACAAGCGGUGGAGUAUGUGGUUUAAUUCGAUGCAACGCGAAGAACCUUACCAAGGCUUGACAUCCCUGGAAUCUUGCAGAAAUGCGAGAGUGCCUUAGGGAGCCAGGAGACAGGUGGUGCAUGGCUGUCGUCAGCUCGUGUCGUGAGAUGUUGGGUUAAGUCCCGCAACGAGCGCAACCCUCGUUUUUAGUUGCCAUCAUUAAGUUGGGCACUCUAGAGAGACUGCCGGUGACAAACCGGAGGAAGGUGGGGAUGACGUCAAGUCAUCAUGCCCCUUACGCCUUGGGCUACACACGUACUACAAUGGUCGGGACAACGGGCAGCCAAUCCGCGAGGACGAGCGAAUCCCAUCAAACCCGGCCUCAGUUCAGAUUGCAGGCUGCAACUCGCCUGCAUGAAGGAGGAAUCGCUAGUAAUCGCAGGUCAGAAUACUGCGGUGAAUUCGUUCCCGGGCCUUGUACACACCGCCCGUCACACCAUGGGAGCUGGUCACGCCCGAAGUCGUUACUCUAACCUUUCGAGGAGGAGGGCGCCGAAGGCAGGGCUAGUGACUGGGGUGA